UUGAAAGGGAAACGAUUGAAGUCAGUCGUACCGACGAGAAAUCAGCUUAUCGUGUGUUAACUUGUAGGCGUGCGUGAGUUUCGGCCUCGCUGUUUGCAUGUUUGUGCGCUUUGGGUGUACUUUUUCGUAUGGUUGGCCAACAUCAGUUUCGAUCACUAUAAAAUGACUGGCGGAAUGUAGCUUCGAUUUCGGUUGAAGUGUUAUAGCCUCUGGUAGAUGUGGUGAUUGGGACUGAGGAUUGCAACGAAUAUCCUUUGGGCUAUCCGUCUGGCCUCUGAAAGUUGCUUGGGUGCUGAAAGCUUGCUUAUGGUUAUCUAAGUUAACGGUCAACAGGUUAGAACGCGAUUACAUUCGUUAAGGAUGUUGACGUA
rnacentral:rRNA from 1 species